rnacentral:rRNA from 1 species
GACGAACGCUGGCGGCGUGCUUAACACAUGCAAGUCGAACGAAGUGGCGAACGGGUGAGUAAUACGUGAGUAACCUGCCCUCCUUUUUGGGAUAAGCCUUGGAAACGGGGUCUAAUACCGAAUAAAGGGGGAUGGGCUCUCGGACUAUCAGCUGGGUGGUGGGGUGAUGGCCUACCAAGGCGGUGCCGGGUAGCCGGCCUGAGAGGGUGACCGGGCACAUUGGGAAUGGGAUACGGGCCAGACUGCUACGGGAGGGAGCAGUGGGGGAUAUUGCACAAUGGGCGAAAGCCGGAUGCAGCGACGCCGCGUGGGGGAUGAAGGCUUUCGGGUUGUAAACCUCUUUCGCUAUCGCACGGUUAGGUGGAGAAGAAGCGCCGGCUAACUACGUGCCAGCAGCCGCGGUAAUUC